rnacentral:tRNA from 1 species
AGUGCUGUAGUCGAGAUGGUUAAGACACUCCCCUGUCACGGGAGAGAUCGCGGGUUCGAAACCCGUCAGCACUGCCA